rnacentral:lncRNA from 1 species
CCAUUGGAGCACAGGUCCUUACGGUUCCUUAGCUAAGGAAAAAUGGGCAGAGCAAGCAACUCUGCUUUAUCAGUUCCUUAAAUAAAAUACUAUACUUUCUCUCACAUUCAGUUCCAACAGAUUACAGAGGGAAGAAACAGUGUUAACAGAUUGUAUGAACUAUCACAAUUUUAUUCAAACAAUAAAAAUAGGAAUUAAUUACAAGGCUUCAGAAAAAUAAAUUUUUACAAAGAAAAAUGAAAAAAAAAAUUACAGAAGCUUGUAGAAGGCCUGCAUGUGCUUGAGGGGCGAUCUUGUGGCGGAGGCGGAGGGUGGCGCUUGAAGAAGGCCUGCAUGUCUCCGAUCCAGUGCUUGAGGGGCGAUUUGGGUCCAGAUUGAAGCUUUGGUGGCGGCUGGGGUAAGUUUUGGUUGCGGUGGUGGGUGUUUGGUGGCGAUGAGGAGGCGGUGAGGCGGGUUUGGUGGCGGUGAAGGUUGUUUGGUGGCGGGUCAGUGGCGGUGAGGUGGUUUUGGUUGUGGUUGUGGGUGUUUGGUGGCGGUGAGGUGGGUUUUGUUUGAGGUUGUGGGUGUUUGGUGGCGGUGAGGAGGCGGUGAGGUGGGUUUGGUGGCGGUGAAGGUUGUUUGGUGGCGGGUCAGUGGCGGUGAGGUGGUUUUGGUUGUGGUUGUGGGUGUUUGGGGGCGGAGAGGCGGGUUUUAUUUGAGGUUGUGGGUGUUUGGUGGCGGUGAGGAGGCGGUGAGGAAGAAGAGAAGAGGAAGAAGAAAGGGGAAACAGUGCUAGGGUUAU